GCAGGUAUGAUUCAAUGGCAGAAUGUCGCCUUCCCAAGGCGAACGUGAGGGUUCGAUUCCCUUUACCUGCU
rnacentral:tRNA from 1 species